rnacentral:rRNA from 1 species
AACGAACGCUGGCGGCAGGCCUAACACAUGCAAGUCGAGCGAGGACUUCGGUUCUAGCGGCGGACGGGUGAGUAACGCGUGGGAAUGUGCCCUUCUCUACGGAAUAGCCCUGGGAAACUGGGAGUAAUACCGUAUACGCCCUAUUGGGGAAAGAUUUAUCGGAGAAGGAUCAGCCCGCGUUGGAUUAGGUAGUUGGUGGGGUAAUGGCCUACCAAGCCGACGAUCCAUAGCUGGUUUGAGAGGAUGAUCAGCCACACUGGGACUGAGACACGGCCCAGACUCCUACGGGAGGCAGCAGUGGGGAAUCUUAGACAAUGGGGGCAACCCUGAUCUAGCCAUGCCGCGUGAGUGAUGAAGGCCUUAGGGUUGUAAAGCUCUUUCAGCUCGGAAGAUAAUGACGGUACCAGCAGAAGAAGCCCCGGCUAACUCCGUG